rnacentral:lncRNA from 1 species
GGGAGGGAGGGAGGGAGGGAGAAAGGAGAGUGUUCAUAGGAUAACUUAGCAGUAAGGACUCUAAGUCUGACCUCCUGAGUUUGGUUCUUAGAUCCCACAUGCUGGAAGGAGAACCAAUUCCUGAAAGUUAUCAUUUUACCUCUGCAUGUGUGCUGUAGAUUGUGAAUGCCUACAUGCACAGAAUAAAUAAAUGUAAAUAAAUUAAUGAAACAUAUAAACAUAUAAAAACUAACUUUAAAAAAGGUGUUACAUGUUUGUGAUCUUAGCACUUGAGGGCAGAGCAGGAGGGUCAGGACUAUCCUUGACUGUCCAGCAGAUUUACAGCCCACUUGGGCUGUGUAAGACCUCGACUCAAAUAAAUAACUUUUACAACAAUAGUUAAAAGCCAGGAUGGUGGGGUUGGGGAUUUAGCUCAGUGGUAGAGCGCUUGCCUAGCAAGCGCAAGGCUCUGGGUUCGGUUCCCAGCUCCGAAAAAAAAGAAAAAGAAAA